rnacentral:rRNA from 1 species
GGUUAAGCGACUAAGCGUACACGGUGGAUGCCCUGGCAGUCAGAGGCGAUGAAGGACGUGCUAAUCUGCGAUAAGCGUCGGUGAGGUGAUAUGAACCGUUAUAACCGGCGAUUUCCGAAUGGGGAAACCCAGUGUGUUUCGACACACUAUCAUUAACUGAAUCCAUAGGUUAAUGAGGCGAACCGGGGGAACUGAAACAUCUAAGUACCCCGAGGAAAAGAAAUCAACCGAAAUUCCCCCAGUAGCGGCGAGCGAACGGGGAGGAGCCCAGAGCCUGAAUCAGUGUGUGUGUUAGUGGAAGCGUCUGGAAAGGCGCGCGAUACAGGGUGACAGCCCCGUACACAAAAAUGCACAUAUUGUGAGCUCGAUGAGUAGGGCGGGACACGUGGUAUCCUGUCUGAAUAUGGGGGGACCAUCCUCCAAGGCUAAAUACUCCUGACUGACCGAUAGUGAACCAGUACCGUGAGGGAAAGGCGAAAAGAACCCCGGCGAGGGGAGUGAAAAAGAACCUGAAACCGUGUACGUACAAGCAGUGGGAGCCUCUUAAUGGGGUGACUGCGUACCUUUUGUAUAAUGGGUCAGCGACUUAUAUUCUGUAGCAAGGUUAACCGAAUAGGGGAGCCGAAGGGAAACCGAGUCUUAACUGGGCGUUAAGUUGCAGGGUAUAGACCCGAAACCCGGUGAUCUAGCCAUGGGCAGGUUGAAGGUUGGGUAACACUAACUGGAGGACCGAACCGACUAAUGUUGAAAAAUUAGCGGAUGACUUGUGGCUGGGGGUGAAAGGCCAAUCAAACCGGGAGAUAGCUGGUUCUCCCCGAAAGCUAUUUAGGUAGCGCCUCGUGAAUUCAUCUCCGGGGGUAGAGCACUGUUUCGGCAAGGGGGUCAUCCCGACUUACCAACCCGAUGCAAACUGCGAAUACCGGAGAAUGUUAUCACGGGAGACACACGGCGGGUGCUAACGUCCGUCGUGAAGAGGGAAACAACCCAGACCGCCAGCUAAGGUCCCAAAGUCAUGGUUAAGUGGGAAACGAUGUGGGAAGGCCCAGACAGCCAGGAUGUUGGCUUAGAAGCAGCCAUCAUUUAAAGAAAGCGUAAUAGCUCACUGGUCGAGUCGGCCUGCGCGGAAGAUGUAACGGGGCUAAACCAUGCACCGAAGCUGCGGCAGCGACACUAUGUGUUGUUGGGUAGGGGAGCGUUCUGUAAGCCUGUGAAGGUGGCCUGUGAGGGUUGCUGGAGGUAUCAGAAGUGCGAAUGCUGACAUAAGUAACGAUAAAGCGGGUGAAAAGCCCGCUCGCCGGAAGACCAAGGGUUCCUGUCCAACGUUAAUCGGGGCAGGGUGAGUCGACCCCUAAGGCGAGGCCGAAAGGCGUAGUCGAUGGGAAACAGGUUAAUAUUCCUGUACUUGGUGUUACUGCGAAGGGGGGACGGAGAAGGCUAUGUUGGCCGGGCGACGGUUGUCCCGGUUUAAGCGUGUAGGCUGGUUUUCCAGGCAAAUCCGGAAAAUCAAGGCUGAGGCGUGAUGACGAGGCACUACGGUGCUGAAGUGACAAAUGCCCUGCUUCCAGGAAAAGCCUCUAAGCAUCAGGUAACAUCAAAUCGUACCCCAAACCGACACAGGUGGUCAGGUAGAGAAUACCAAGGCGCUUGAGAGAACUCGGGUGAAGGAACUAGGCAAAAUGGUGCCGUAACUUCGGGAGAAGGCACGCUGAUAUGUAGGUGAAGCGACUUGCUCGUGGAGCUGAAAUUAGUCGAAGAUACCAGCUGGCUGCAACUGUUUAUUAAAAACACAGCACUGUGCAAACACGAAAGUGGACGUAUACGGUGUGACGCCUGCCCGGUGCCGGAAGGUUAAUUGAUGGGGUUAGCGGUAACGCGAAGCUCUUGAUCGAAGCCCCGGUAAACGGCGGCCGUAACUAUAACGGUCCUAAGGUAGCGAAAUUCCUUGUCGGGUAAGUUCCGACCUGCACGAAUGGCGUAAUGAUGGCCAGGCUGUCUCCACCCGAGACUCAGUGAAAUUGAACUCGCUGUGAAGAUGCAGUGUACCCGCGGCAAGACGGAAAGACCCCGUGAACCUUUACUAUAGCUUGACACUGAACAUUGAGCCUUGAUGUGUAGGAUAGGUGGGAGGCUUUGAAGUGUGGACGCCAGUCUGCAUGGAGCCGACCUUGAAAUACCACCCUUUAAUGUUUGAUGUUCUAACGUUGGCCCGUAAUCCGGGUUGCGGACAGUGUCUGGUGGGUAGUUUGACUGGGGCGGUCUCCUCCUAAAGAGUAACGGAGGAGCACGAAGGUUGGCUAAUCCUGGUCGGACAUCAGGAGGUUAGUGCAAUGGCAUAAGCCAGCUUGACUGCGAGCGUGACGGCGCGAGCAGGUGCGAAAGCAGGUCAUAGUGAUCCGGUGGUUCUGAAUGGAAGGGCCAUCGCUCAACGGAUAAAAGGUACUCCGGGGAUAACAGGCUGAUACCGCCCAAGAGUUCAUAUCGACGGCGGUGUUUGGCACCUCGAUGUCGGCUCAUCACAUCCUGGGGCUGAAGUAGGUCCCAAGGGUAUGGCUGUUCGCCAUUUAAAGUGGUACGCGAGCUGGGUUUAGAACGUCGUGAGACAGUUCGGUCCCUAUCUGCCGUGGGCGCUGGAGAACUGAGGGGGGCUGCUCCUAGUACGAGAGGACCGGAGUGGACGCAUCACUGGUGUUCGGGUUGUCAUGCCAAUGGCACUGCCCGGUAGCUAAAUGCGGAAGAGAUAAGUGCUGAAAGCAUCUAAGCACGAAACUUGCCCCGAGAUGAGUUCUCCCUGACUCCUUGAGAGUCCUGAAGGAACGUUGAAGACGACGACGUUGAUAGGCCGGGUGUGUAAGCGCAGCGAUGCGUUGAGCUAACCGGUACUAAUGAACCGUGAGGCUUAACCUU